rnacentral:rRNA from 1 species
GACGAACCGAGCGAACGUUGUUCGGAAUCACUGGGCUUAAAGGGCUCGUAGGCGGUCCAUCGCGUCGGGAGUGAAAAGCUGGGGCUUAACCCCAGUCCUGCUUCCGAUACGGGUGGACUAGAGGUAGGCAGGGGAGAACGGAAUUCCUGGUGUAGCGGUGAAAUGCGCAGAUAUCAGGAGGAACACCGGUGGCGAAGGCGGCUCACUGGCCCGGUACUGACGCUGAGGUGCGAAAGCGUGGGGAGCAAACAGG